rnacentral:rRNA from 1 species
GAUGAACGCUGGCGGCGUGCCUAAUACAUGCAAGUCGAGCGAACAGACGAGGAGCUUGCUCCUCUGACGUUAGCGGCGGACGGGUGAGUAACACGUGGAUAGCCUACCUAUAAGGCUGGGAUAACUUCGGGAAACCGGAGCUAAUACCGGAUAAUAUAUUGAACCGCAUGGUUCAAUAGUGAAAGACGGUUUUGCUGUCACUUAUAGAUGGAUCCGCGCCGCAUUAGCUAGUUGGUAAGGUAACGGCUUACCAAGGCAACGAUGCGUAGCCGACCUGAGAGGGUGAUCGGCCACACUGGAACUGAGACACGGUCCAGACUCCUACGGGAGGCAGCAGUAGGGAAUCUUCCGCAAUGGGCGAAAGCCUGACGGAGCAACGCCGCGUGAGUGAUGAAGGUCUUCGGAUCGUAAAACUCUGUUAUUAGGGAAGAACAAAUGUGUAAGUAACUAUGCACGUCUUGACGGUACCUAAUCAGAAAGCCACGGCUAACUACGUG